rnacentral:rRNA from 1 species
AUACGGAGGGAGCAAGCGUUAUUCGGAAUCACUGGGCGUAAAGGACGCGUAGGCGGGUUUGUAAGUCAGGUGUGAAAUCCUACAGCUCAACUGUAGAACUGCACUUGAAACUACAGACCUAGAGUAUGUAAGGGGCAGAUGGAAUUAGUGGUGUAGGGGUAAAAUCCGUAGAUAGCACUAGGAAUACCGAAAGCGAAGGCGAUCUGCUGGGACAUUACUGACGCUGAGGCGUGAAAGCGUGGGGAGCAAACAGAAUUAGAAACCCGGGUAGUCC